UACGUAGGGGGCUAGCGUUAUCCGAAAUUACUGGGCGUAAAGGGUGCGUAGGUGGUUUCUUAAGUCAGAGGUGAAAGGCUACGGCUCAACCGUAGUAAGCCUUUGAAACUGGGAAACUUGAGUGCAGGAGAGGAGAGUGGAAUUCCUAGUGUAGCGGUGAAAUGCGUAGAUAUUAGGAGGAACACCAGUUGCGAAGGCGGCUCUCUGGACUGUAACUGACACUGAGGCACGAAAGCGUGGGGAGCAAACAGG
rnacentral:rRNA from 1 species